AAAGAGCAGGGAAGUAGCUGGGAAGGGAGGCUGGGCUAGAUGGGGUCACAAGGCCUGUGUAGGCUUCAGGUAGGUGGGAGCUGCCCGCUUCAGGCCUCAGAAUCACUCUUGGAGUUAGAUAUUUAAGAAUCCUUCCUGCCUUGACAGCCAGUCUGUGAAAUGAUGGUGAGGUGGGCCCUUCUUCAUGGUGAGUGCAGAAUUCUGGGGAGACAUUGCCAAGGAAUUUUACUGGAAGACUCCAUGCCCUGGCCCAUUCCUUCGGUACAACUUUGAUGUGACUAAAGGGAAAAUCUUCAUUGAGUGGAUGAAAGGAGCAACUACCAACAUCUGCUACAAUGUACUGGAUCGAAAUGUCCAUGAGAAAAAGCUUGGAGAUAAAGUUGCUUUUUACUGCCAGGCGUGGUGGCGCACGCCUGUAAUUCCAGCUACUCAGGAGUCUGAGGCAGAAGAAUUGCCUGAACCCAGGAGGCGGAGGUUGCAGUGAGCCAAGAUCACGCCAUUUUACUCCAGCCUGGGCAACAAGAGCAAAACUCCAUCUUGGAAAAAAAAAAAAAAGCACACAUCUCUUGACCCAACA
rnacentral:sRNA from 1 species